UACUGGGCGUAAAGCGAGCGUAGGUGGCUAAUUAAGUCACAUGUGAAAUCCCUGGGCUUAACCUAGGAACUGCAUGUGAUACUGGUUAGCUAGAGUAUGUGAGAGGGGUGUAGAAUUCCAGGUGUAGCGGUGAAAUGCGUAGAGAUCUGGAGGAAUACCGAUGGCGAAGGCAGCACCCUGGCAUAAUACUGACACUGAGGUUCGAAAGCGUGGGUAGCAAACAGGAUUAGAUACCCUGGUAGUCCACGCCGUAAACGAUGUCUACUAGCCGUUGGGGUCCAUGAGACUUUAGUGGCGCAGUUAACGCGAUAAGUAGACCGCCUGGGGAGUACGGCCGCAAGGUUAAAACUCAAAGGAAUUGACGGGGACCCGCACAAGCGGUGGAUGAUGUGGAUUAAUUCGAUGCAACGCGAAGAACCUUACCUGGUCUUGACAUGUACGGAAUCCUCCAGAGACGGAGGAGUGCCUUCGGGAGCCGUAACACAGGUGCUGCAUGGCUGUCGUCAGCUCGUGUCGUG
rnacentral:rRNA from 1 species